ensembl:lncRNA
CCGAGCGUGGGGAGCAUAGGUGGCCUGGAGUCGGACCGCAAGGUCCAUUACCCGCUCCCAAUGAGAAUCGCCGCCGGACGACCACGAAAUGGCCUCCUCCUCUGGGGACCAUGUGGUAGGCGGCGGAUGGUGACCCAGAUGCCUAGUGAGGGCUCCAGAUGGGGAGACGGAGUAGUACAAGUACCCAGCUGGAACCCCCGGGAGGACCGUUCCCCCAUUACCAGCAGCCCGCUGGAGACUCCGUGGACCGCCCAUUGCCAGACGGGUUCCCCUGAACUCGUCCAGGGGAAAAAACUCUGCUGAGUCCUUUCUUGGUCGCGUCAUUCUGUCAGGGGAUGCGGGUGGGAGGCAGGACUCAGAACGCAGAGUUCAAAAGGAACACAAAGGACUUUAAUAGUCAAUGGUCAAAAACACAGGAACCGGGAGGAAAAGCAGCAGGCAACAUGUGUGACAAAAGACAAGGACAUGUGUGACAAAAGACAAUGACGCGACAAGUGACACAGGAGAUACAUGGCUUAAAUACACAAGGGAGGUGCAGGUGAUUGGACACAGGUGGAAACUAUUAGACGAUCACAGGGGAUGACGGGACAAGGCAGGAAGUGAAGUUACCCGGGGACACGAGUGGCAGAAAACUACAAAAUACAACAGGAAGUGAAACCACACCGUGACAGUUUCAGGUGUGGCAGGAAAGGACAUCUCGCCAGAACAUGUCCGGGAAAGGACUCUGCUGAGGGUGCAGGGGAACGAGGCAUGGAGGAUCCUGAGGAGGUCAGGGGGGAACAUCAUGACGGUCAGGGAAGACAGGAGAAGACAGAGUAGGAACAGGAAGAGACGGGUCGGAUCAAGCAGGCGGUUGAUGUGGUUGAGAACUGACAGCAGGGGACUGGUGGUCCAGCAGGGUGGGGAGGCGAGUGAUAGGGGCCAGGAGGGGAAUUGAAGUCCAACAGGUAGGGCAGAUGUGUGGGGAGGGGACAAGUUAAGUCCAGCGGGAGAGUGAGGUGUGUGUGUGUGAGAGGGGUGAAGGUGGUGGUGGUGGUGGUGGUAGAGUCCAGCCGGCCUGCCAGAGGAGCGACAGAGUGACUGAGGGGACGAUUGAGGCCCAACAGGUGGGCCAGGUGGGUGUGGGGGUGAAUGAAGAGGCAGGUGGGUUCAGACAGCUUUGUCAAGAGAGGGGAAGAGUGGAAGAAGGUAUGAGUGGGGUUCAGCAGGUGGUUCGGGGGGUGAAGAAGGGCUGGAGGAGCUGGAAAAAAUGACCAACCAAUCACACAUGCUGAUGAAAUGCUGUUUGAAAACAGCGACGAAAAUAUGGAGGGGGAGGAGGAGGAACGUAAAGCCCCCCCUGAAGAGAAGGAAGACAAGGAGCAGCAGAGGAGCCUCUCGAGCUAAGAAGGGGUCAAAGAACGGAAGGCGAACAAGAGGGGAAGCGGGUAAAUCUGGGUCCUCUGCUGACUGGGACUCCACUGACAGCGCCUCUUCUGGAGGGACAGUGACCAGUAGGUACGGGGUGGGGAAAGUAAAGCUCUUCCUGAAGAUAACAAAGAACAUGAAGGGGGUGGACUUCGAGGAAUACUUCUCGAAUGAGGAAUGAGUCUGGCACGUGCAGCUGGGAGAGUUUGUCCUGCAGCAGAGACGGGAUGAUGGUGGAGCUGUGGGGGAUGGGAUCAGGACAUUGUCUUUCGAAUCUGCAGAAGAACUCAUUCAGCUCAUCUGCCAGGCGGAGGUCAUUCAUGGAGUUUUUUUUUUUGGCUUUUAGUUGGUGAGGUGUUUGAGGCCUCUCCAAACUGAAGCAGAGUCACUUGCUGAGAACUGUUGUUGGAGUUUCUCAGAGUACAGUCGUUUAGCAUCUCUCACCGCCUUGCUGAACUUGUAUUUUGACUCUGUAAGCAGAUCUCCAGGAAGGUGUUUAAGACCGCAGAAAGCUGAUCAGCACAAUGCUUCAUGGUGUGGGCGGGAGACGGUCUGGUCCGGCUGCUUUGUGGGGGUUUUGUUUUUUAAAGAGCCCACGUCUCUCUUCAAAUUAGAGAGGGUAUUACGGCAGAAGUCCUGCUGUAGACUUGUGCACAACCAGGACGAGGAUCCACACAGUCUCUACAACCUAGUGACACAGAUCUGACAGCAGUGUUCCCGUGUCAGAAUCUAUGUCGCAAACUGCCUGGAUUAAAACAUUUGAGUUUUUAGUGGAACAACAAAUAAAAACAUUUGACAUGAUGACUUUGACUCAAGUAAUUGUUAAAUACUCAACAUAUGUUGUGAUCCGUUUGAGCGAAGGGAGUUCCAAAUCCUUGCAGCUCUCCCAGUUAAUCUGGUAAAUCUGACAGGAAGAAAUAUAGAACCAUCCAUUUUUUUUAAUAUAUCAAUAAAAGCCUUUUCAUUGGGAUGGGAUGGUAAAAUGCAAUGGUGCACAUUAACUAUCAUAGUUUUUGCAUAUUUCACUCGUGAAGAUCCACGUAGAUUUGUUUACUGUGCUCAUGUUGUUCAUAAUAUGACUCAAAUGUAGAAAACUGGGGAAUAGACUGUACAACCAUAAUGUACGACAAUGCCACAAUUUCACUAGUUACACAUAGAUUCUUUUCCUUAGCAGACAUUGUGGUUCGAGCUUCCUGGACCAAACUGAUCUUUCACUGAAGAAACAUAAUGUUCUCAUUUCUUCUUUUUGGCAACACAAGUCAUACAAUAAAAUUGGAUGCAGCAGUGGGCCCUGAUGCCUGUUUGGAUGCCUUCUCUUCCAUCAACCUUGAUCAACUGACUUCUAUAAUUUCAAAGUCUAAAUCUUCUACUGUCUAUUUGAUCUGACUAAGCUGCUUAAGUUUUUUCUUUAGUUAGCACAUCUUUAUUAGAGAUUAUGAAUCUGUCUUUGUUGACAGAACAUGUACCACAGUAUUCUAUAAAAACGUUAAAAAACCCUCUGUCCUCUUCUGAUGUCUCCUCCUUCUUUUACAUUAUAUUACAUGUGAUUCAGCUGACGCUGUUAUCCGAAGCGACUUAACGUGCACUUAUUAGUGCAUUUCAACCAUAAGGAAACAAACCCAGAAGAACAAGAAAAAGUGCAAUUCCAUCAAAUAAGCUCAUCUACACCUUGCUAUAGAUAAGAGCCAUUAUAAGUACAAUUUAAGUGCUACAAUUUAUUUACUGUUUUUUUUUUAGUCACUGUAUAGUCUGAAGAGGUGUCUUUAGUUUGCGGCGGAAGAUGUGAAGGGUCUCUGCGGACCUGGGGUCCGUUUCAAGAAGCGGGUUUAUUGGAAACUCAGAGUUGGUUAACCCGGAGAUGAGGGAAACUCUGGCUUGUCUGUUUCACAAACGGAGGUAACUAAAGCUCAGGGUCAUUCACCAUGGUAAUUGAGCCUGUGAACCAAACCUGGUCGGGAGCAGGUUUACUUCAAUAAACCUGGAGUUUCUUUCACAGUCUCCUCCCUCUGACUGCAGCCCAGCCAAUCACACAGCACAACGGAAUUGUUUUUCUUCACAGUCCAUCCAAUAUGUACAUGACCUCACCCGUCCUCAUAUAACUAAUGUCACUCAUCGUGGACAUGCUCUCACGUACGAGCAGAUUUGUCGUGCAGUGUAUUACAUUUUUUUGCAAACUGCAGUUUCCUUUACAACAUUAAAAUAUUAGUAAAGCUGCUGUAUGCAGAGCCGUGAGAAACGUGUGCCUCGCUCUGAAAUGUCUUUUAGACGUUUUUGUUCCCUGGAUGCAAACCAGUGAAGCCAUUGAAGAGGAGUUCCUGAAUAAAAUACAUUAUAGGUUCAAUACCAUU